CCAGACUCCUACGGGAGGCAGCAGUGAGGAAUAUUGGUCAAUGGCCGGGAGGCUGAACCAGCCAAGUCGCGUGAGGGAAGACGGUCCUAUGGAUUGUAAACCUCUUUUGUCGGGGAGCAAAAGACGCCACGCGUGGCGUUCCGAGAGUACCCGAAGAAAAAGCAUCGGCUAACUCCGUGCCAGCAGCCGCGGUAAUACGGAGGAUGCGAGCGUUAUCCGGAUUUAUUGGGUUUAAAGGGUGCGCAGGCGGAAGAUCAAGUCAGCGGUAAAAUUGAGAGGCUCAACCUCUUCGAGCCGUUGAAACUGGUCUUCUUGAGUGAGCGAGAAGUAUGCGGAAUGCGUGGUGUAGCGGUGAAAUGCAUAGAUAUCGCGCAGAACUCCGAUUGCGAAGGCAGCGUACCGGCGCCAGACUGACGCUGAGGCACGAAAGCGUGGGGAUCGAACAGGAUUAGAUACCCCUGUAA
rnacentral:rRNA from 1 species